GGGCCUAUAGGUGGCGUGCUCCCUGUGCCACCCACCCAGCUGGCCCUCAGGAGGCCCUGCAGCCCAGCACCGUCAGCACCAUGGGCACAGCCCACUUCCGGGGCUCCUAGGAACUUGCAUGUGCGUGUCCUAAAGAGCCUUCCGCUGUUGGCGGGGCCUCCUUCUUUGGUGCCUGUGGGUCUGAGGAGUCCUUUCUCCCCCUCCAGCCAGGCUCCUCUGUGACAGGUCGGGGGCGGGGGAGUGACUCAGUGUCUCCCCAUGCACAGUCUGUCUGCACUCAGCUCCUUCUGACAGGUAUCUGUGAGCGCUUCUCUGCUCUGGGUUUCAGGGUCCAGAAGAAGUACCAGGCCCCGCGCUCACCCCUCGUCCCUUUCUGGGACUGGAGAAUCUUAGGAAAUGGUGGCUGAGGGAUUGCAGGGCACAGCGGCCCGCACAGUUGCUUUUACAACACCACGUCCUGUAAGGGGAACUGAACUUGCCGAGGGAGGCUGCUGCCCACCCAUCUCCAGCGCGGGGAGGCAGGGCCCAGCAGGGGCCCCUGGGGAGCAAGCAGGGCCCGUGGACUGGGGCCACGGGCAAGACGCCUUCUUCUGUGCUAGACUCGCUCACUGGCUCAGUUUUGGCAACUGUGCCAUGGGGACAGCUGAAGAGGGCCCCUGACAUGCUGGGUGCAGGCUGCUCGGAACCCAGGGUGCUGGGUAAAUGCAAAUUGCUUCCCUCAACCCGUACCACUCAGAACGUGCUUGAAGCCAGGACCCUGAUGGAAGGGGACUCCUUCACAGCUGGCCCAGAAGCCGGGAGUGGGGCUGGGGUGUCUGUCCCCAGGCACCUCAUCUCUCUGCCUCAAUUUCCUCAUCCAGAAGAUGUGGGUAAUAAGAGAAUGGACCUCUGCAAUAGUCUGGGCCUUAGAUGGGUUAGUUUAUGAGUAGUGUUGCGACGGCCUUGAGUCCUUGUCAGUUUUCCGUCGUGUUUAGUGAGCAGCGGUGUUUAGAGCUGCAGUGCCAGGAAGGGAAGACACAGCCCCUUCUGGCAAAGCACAGGGACAGAGCUGCCAGCUCCUGAGAUCAGAGCUGUGUCCACUUGAGGAGAGGGUCAGAGGCCAGCAGGGGCCCCUGUGAGGGGCCUCGGACUCGCCAGGGUGGGUGACAGUUCCCAAGCCCUCAGGAAGCCACCUCUGUGGACGUACCCUCCUCCCCGAGCCGGAGACAGCGCCGGGCAGGACACCAGACAGUGCGUUUCUUUACCUCUCGUCCCCCUAGCGAGUUCUUCAGUUAAACGCGAUGAUUGGUCGCUGCUGGGAGCUGUUAUUUAAGUAAGGAGCUGUGUGUUUAUGGAGGGCUGCAUUUGCCAGCCCGCCUCUGAGUUACUGCUGGGGAGCGUGUGCGGACAGUUACCCAGCUUGGCCACCGCCUUGCUGGGCGGGCUCUGAGCUCCAGGCUUCUCGGCUGAGAAAGAGGAUAUUCAGCGGGGGCUGUUGGAGGACAGAACCGGGGGAUGGCCUAACGCCCCGGGCCUGGGGCUCUGCAGGGCUGUGUGUCUGCCUUGGUUACAGGUAAGACUGCCGCCUCUGCCAUGAGGACUGCAGCAGGGGAGGUGUUCUCAGGCACCCCCCCCUCCCUGUCCCCCACUGGCGGAUCCACAGAAGCUGAGGCCCAGGGUUGCUGGCGGCUGACCAGUGGAUCUGAGACCAGAGGCUGCACAGCCCCCUCCAUGCCCAUCUCCCAGGAUGGCACAGGGAGCCAGCGGGCAUUCACACCUCCGGGCUCCCAUCCCCACCCCAUGUGGCAGCAGCCUCCUCAUCCUGCCGUAGGAAUGGGCGUUGCUGCCUGCGCAGGGUCUCUGGGAUGCACAGGGCUGUGCAGGACUCCCCUCACCAUAUCACGCCUCCUCUUUCAGUGGCAGUGGCGACAGCACCCUCACCUCCUCACUCUGCUCAGAUCCCCACAAUGUGACCUCCAUAGCCCCGCCGGCACCCUGACCCUGCCUGUCACUGUCACCAUUGGGCCCUACUCAAGAGCUCUGGGCCCCGGCUCAACCUGCGGUGGCUCUAAGAUGAACUAGACCCACAGAAGUGGUCCUGGGAGGCCAAAGGAAGGAGUAGGGGGGAGCUGGGGAGGCCGACCUGGAGGGGAACCGGAGGAGGCAGGUUCCAGGUACGGGCAGGCAGGGGGAGGCGGAGUUCCGGGUGCAGAGAGAGGACAGAGUUGCCAUCCUGCAGUGCGUCUGCGGCAGGGAGCUGGGGAAGUGCAUGGCCAGGCCAGGUCUGUCGGCCUCAGCCUCCCUCUGUGUUCAUGUCUUGCCAAAUGCGCAUACCACCUGCUCCCUGCCUCCCGGAUCUUUAAUGUGGACUCGCUCUCACUGACACUGUGGAGCCCGCUUUCCCACCUUGCUCUGACAGUGUUGCAGGCUUGCUGGCAGAGGUUCUUAUCCCUGACCCUCUGCCUCUGCAUGAGGAAUCAACUUUGUCAAGAACACUCUUAGACUCCCUGCCCUGGCCUGUGCCCUAGACCUGCCCGCCUGGAGCCUGCACCCAUGGCUUCUUCUCUGUCCACUCACAGGAUGGGCAACGCGUCAUGGAAAUUUUGGCACACCCUGGGCAGAGCCUGGCCAUGGAAUUUCAUGCUCCGUUAUCCUGUUUAAUGCAGUACCAAGGGAUGGAAUGUCACAGGCACGCUCUUGCUCUCCAGUGUCCAGCUCCCUCUAGCACCAUCUCCUGGCAAAGCAGAAAUGUGGCGGGCAGAGUUGCUGCCAAAAGCUGGGCAGAGGAUGGGCGUGGACCUGAGCCUAUAACUUCACCACCAGCACCCACUCCUGGAGUCUAGGUGACGAACUCUCGGACUCCUUCAAGCCACAGGAAGCAGAGUGGGCUGAUGCUCCAGCCAAGAACUGGGAACUCCUCAAAGGGGCAACUUGGGCCUGGCCAACAUCUCACAAUGGCUCUGGGACCUCCAAGAGCAUCCUCCCUCCCCCGCUGCCUGCACUUGGAGAGGCUGGGCUGCUCCUGCUUCCUCCCAUUUCCUCCCGGCAUCUCCCCAAUAACCCUUACACACAAUAUCAUGUCUUGGCGCCUGGCGUGAACUCACACCAAGUACGCUCCAAGCACUUCACACCUGGGGGGCUGUCCCAUCCCAAUUCCAGCCCCCACCCUAUCCCCCUCUGCACUGCACUGCUUCUCCUGUCACACUCACCCACACAUGCUCAUGAAAUAUCACACAUGCGUGCACACACUCACACAUUUGUAUACACACACUCCCCCCACUCACACACAGUCUUACACACAAGCACAUACACACGUUCUCACAUGCUCUCACAUACACUCACACUGACACAAUCUCACACAUCACACACACGCAUGUGCACCUGUCCUGACUGCACCAGGCUCGGUCCAGCCUCGGACUUGGUCAUGGUGUCACUUAGCGGCGUGACUGUGCCCUGUCUCCCCUCCCGUCUUUCUCCUUCACAGCUGGUGGAAACAGCAUGGGCACGUGGGGGCGGGGGAAGGCGGCCUUCCUGCGGGGGGUUGGGGGAGGGCAGGAUGGGA